AACAAGUGUUUUUUUUUUUUAUACAGAUACAUGUGCGAGCGGCGGCCGAUUUGGAAACACUUAAAUCCCAGCACUUGUGAAAUAUAAUUCUAUUACAUAAAAAGCAGCUCUCCGUUGCAACGCGUCACGCCGUGGCGGGAGCUCGCCGAGUUCUGAUUGGAUCAAUUAUUCUACGAGCUAGCCUUCUCGAAGGUACCCGGGUGAGUCGGGCAUGCGCCUCUACUAUUUCGACACCAGAUAUAGCGUGCAUAUAUACACAUCCCUGCGUACACACGAACUGCAUUUACAUGCACCAUGUCCAAUGAAAACACUACAGCGUAUAUGUACGUACGUAUACGUAUGCAUUUUCAUAUGCACCACGCACGCGCGUCUUGAAAGCUCUCAAACGUCAGAGUGCACGUUGCAGCGGCGCAAAUCGGAUUACGUCUUCGAAUUCUAUCCUUUGUCGAUUUUCUCGUCUUCACUUUGUUUUUUUGUUUUUUUUGUUUCUCUCUCUCUUCAUUUUAUAAUCUUUCUGCGCGGCAAAAUUCUUAAGUCCGAACUCUGUUCGCUUUAUCUCCGAUGUAUUGAUUGCGAUAAAAAAGAGUCGUAAAUUAUUUCGUACGCGAAAAACUUUGCGAUUCUUUCUGUUCGUGUAAAUUUUCGAAAAAUUUGCAAUUGUAAAUAAAGUUGCAUCACCACGUAUAAAUAGCAGAAGGGGAGAGAAAAUUUGUGAGAAAAAAUAAAAUCGUCGCCAUUUCACCGUUUUUCACAAAAUGAUUGCGGCAGAAUCGAACCGAGUAAGAUGAAGAUUUUUGUCAAACUGAAAAACAAUACGGUUUGUUCUAUUGCGCAAAAGAAGAAAACUAUUUCCUGAGGACUAGAGCCGACGAAUCAUACGUCGUGUACAUCUCUACACGUGUAUCGUAUUUAUAAUAAUUAUUAUAACGCACACGGCAUUCGUAUCAAAGAUGUGAAUAUAUACAUCUAUAGGGGAUAACGGGGCAUAACGGGGAUAGCCGAAACGAAAUAAUGAUUUCAUCACCACCGUUUUCUUGUUGCCACUGACAAAUGAUUCCACUCCCAUGUAACAACGUUUCAGGCGAUCCGAUGUAAUAAGAAAAAGUAGAAGGAGAGAAAAAAAAAACACCUUCCGGAGCUGUAGAAUUAAUUUUUUUCUUUCAAAUGUAAUUAAAAAAAUGAAUAAAUAAUUGAAUAAUCGAAUAUACCCGAAAUAAAAUAUUUUCCUUAUCUCGCCGCACAAUACGCUGCAGUUACAAUGGAUUCUAUUUUGUACGUAUAUUUGUACGGAACGAAGCAGCUACGAACAACGAGGAGCGAAAAAGUUCGAAAAUAAACCGUAAGUUACAUAAAACGUAUAAUAAUUUAGGCGGCGUUAACGGUGUAAUGCCAUGAGAACGAAGGACAUUAAAUGUUAUUCAUUCAAAACGAUGAUAUGAACAUUUUUUAAAGGAGAUAUCGAUUUUUCGAAUCAUGAAAUUCCACCGUUACAUAACCGUAUGUAUAUGUAUACCUACGUAUGCGUGUAUAUCUAUUCGAUAAUAUGGUAACAACCAUAUGGUGACAUUACCCCGUUGAAAUCAAACGUUCGAGAUUUUUCGAAUUUUUGCAUCGAUAAAAUGGCGACGUGUUUUUCAAACUGCAGUUGUUUUUCCACAAUAUAUUGGACGUACGUACAUCUGUUCGUAUAUUAUAUAUACAUGAGAUGAUAUUGCGUCCAUCGACCAACGUUUACAAUACGUAUAGAUAUUACAUAACUGCGUGAAAAUAUAACAUAAGCCUCGGAAUCGAAAUCAUUUAUAUAAACCGCGUUUGCUUUUAUAUACCAUACGAAUAUUUCCUAUGAUAAAUGAAGUUGCGACGAUAACAUUUAUAGUUGUGCAGUGACCAAAAAUAUUAUAAAUGUUAAAGAAAUGACGAAAUCAAAUUCGAACACCGGUACAAAAUUAUACAAAUAGAAUAGACUCGUUACGUGGCGUGACUCGAAACAAAUAGGAUUAUAUACGUUAUUUACUGCUUUUGUUAUAGUACAUCGCAGUAGUGAUAAUUGUUAAUAAUAUUAAAAACAUUAACAACGGCAUCACCGAUAUGAGAAAAUGAAACUCGUUCACCGGUAGAAAAUAUACGUAUACAUAUAUAUAAAAGACUCAUUACGUGAGAUGACUAAAAAUAAGUUGAAUUAUAUGUAUAUAUAUUAUUCGUCUCGCUUUAUAAUAUAUAAAUAAUAUCGGCGAAUCCAAAAGAAUUCUACCGAUUUUUCCAGUGGAUUGUACGAAAAAAAAAUAUCUAAUACCAAAAACCAACUAUUUUCAAUAAAAGUCAUGCUCUAUACCGCGCGAACGUUUCAAAGUUUUUUUCGAUGCUCCAAUUUCGGACCUCCGAUCCGCAGUUUUUGACGUACAGAUUUCGUUGGAAGUAAUGAAAACUAUGCCAUGUCCAGUUGGUGAAAACGGUUUCCACAGGGCAAUCAAAGUCAAUGAAGCUGUGGCACAGUCCUUGUACAAAGUUUUUUAGUCAUCACCGUAUACGGCGGGCGAUAAAGGUGCACGAAAAUUUGAAGAUUUGUUCCGGAAAAUUUCAAUUCACGGGCAAAGUCCAGAGGAGCGAAGGAGGAGAGAGAAAAAUAUGAUUACAAUAAAAUGUAAUGAACAAUAAUCUUAAAAAUAUGUAUCAUGUUCUAGUGCACGGUUUGUUUUUGUAUCUUGUUUCAAUUAUAGUAAUUUAAUUUAAUCAACUUUUAUGGGUGAUUAAUCUGAUUCAAAGGACGUCAGCCAAUAAUUAAGUAAAUCUAAUGGAAUGGCUCGUGGAUCAUUCGUUCACGCACGAUGAAUCAAAGUUAAAUUAUACAGGUGGAAGCGUCGGCCAUUUCCUUCCGUCCGUAAUCUUCGUAUCAAUUUUACACCUAUAUCGAUCGUCGCUAAAUCGUCGGUUCCAUAAAUGGGAGAAAAUGUAAAAAUAACUUGCAAUAAAUUCAUAAUUCGAUUUCUCAUCCAAUUGAAAUACGUUAUUGAUCAAUUUUCAGAAUUUCGAAAUUUGUAUUUCGGUCGAUCGUCUAAAAAAAUUGCAGAUUCUCCAGUGCAAUCUUCGCAAAUUUUUAAUCACAGGUAAAAGAGUCCUCUCAAUUUCUGUAAAGAUUGGAUUAGGUAAUCGUCAGCUGUGUGCUAGGACGCCAAUUUUUGGCACAUCGAAUUGUUUCGUUACGAAGCGAUCGCGAUAAGCGACGUUAUGGAGUCGUUCGCGUUGGCGUUGGAAAAAUGAUAGAAAGAAAAAAAAAAAACAAGGAAAAAUAGAAAACUCGAUCCGUUUAAAAAAAAAUCCACGACUACAUAACAGGAUUAUGUACCUCGUCGAUAUUUCAAUACUCCGUAGAACAACUCGAAUUAACGAUGACAAAUUUAACAGUAAUUAUCGAGGUGUGUCACGUUGGUUCCUUCGUUGAAAUUUAUAAGUGCGUCGUCGCCCGCGUUACAGAGCGGUGCGAUCCACGGAGUUUAUUAGUUAGUUGCGAAGUCGAGCUUAAAGUUAAGUCGAGCUCAAAGCUCAUAGUUUCGGAUCGGAUCGUAUAUGGGAAGAGUUGGUCGAUUUGCUUCUCGAGUCGCUUCAGAAUCAGAGCACAGUUUAUGUAAUCAAAGAUUGUGCUGAACAAGUAUAGGUAUACCCUGCGUGUAUCCGUACAGCAUCGAAGGUAUAUGUAUGUAUACGUGAUUCGUGACUUCGAAA